AGAACGAACGCUGGCGGCAUGCCUAACACAUGCAAGUCGAACGUGAUCCAGGCUUCGGCCUGGUGAAAGUGGCAGACGGGUGAGUAACGCGUGGGAACCUGCCCUGUGGUAGGGAAUAACCGUGGGAAACUGCGGCUAAUACCCUAUGAGUCCUUCGGGAGAAAGAUUUAUCGCCAUAGGAGGGGCCCGCGUCGGAUUAGGUAGUUGGUGGGGUAACGGCCUACCAAGCCUUCGAUCCGUAGCUGGUCUGAGAGGAUGAUCAGCCACACUGGGACUGAGAUACGGCCCAGACUCCUACGGGAGGCAGCAGUGGGGAAUAUUGGACAAUGGGGGCAACCCUGAUCCAGCAAUGCCGCGUGGAUGAUGAAGGCCUUCGGGUUGUAAAGUCCUUUCGGCGGGGAAGAUGAUGACGGUACCGCAGAAGAAGCCCCGGCUAACUUCGUGCCAGCACGCCGC
rnacentral:rRNA from 1 species